ACGAACGCUGGCGGCGUGCUUAACACAUGCAAGUCGAACGGAAAGGCCCUGCUUUUGUGGGGUGCUCGAGUGGCGAACGGGUGAGUAACACGUGAGUAACCUGCCCUUGACUUUGGGAUAACUUCAGGAAACUGGGGCUAAUACCGGAUAGGAGCUCCUGCUGCAUGGUGGGGGUUGGAAAGUUUCGGCGGUUGGGGAUGGACUCGCGGCUUAUCAGCUUGUUGGUGGGGUAGUGGCUUACCAAGGCUUUGACGGGUAGCCGGCCUGAGAGGGUGACCGGCCAAAUUGGGCCGGAGAAACGGCCCAGACCCCUGCGGGGGGGAGGAGGGGGGAAUUUUGCAAAAGGGGGGGAAGCCUGAUGCAGCAACCCCGGGGGGGGGAGGAGGGCCUUGGGGUUGUAAACCGCUUUCCCCUGGAACGAAGCGGGGGGGACGGUAAUGGGAAAAGAAGCACCGGCAAACUACGU
rnacentral:rRNA from 1 species